rnacentral:tRNA from 1 species
CAUUAGGUAACUUAAAGUAAGUAAUGGUCUCUUAAACCAAAUAAUAAUAAAUUAACAACUAUUUCUAAUGA